rnacentral:rRNA from 1 species
AUAUUGCACAAUGGGGGAAACCCUGAUGCAGCAACGCCGCGUGAGCGAUGAAGGCCUUCGGGUCGUAAAGCUCUGCCCUAAGGGAAGAUAAUGACGGUAGUCGGAGAAGAAGCCCCGGCUAACUUCGUGCCAGCAGCCGCGGUAAUAGGAAGGGGGCUAGCGUUGUUCGGAUUUACUGGGCGUAAAGCGCACGUAGGCGGAUUGGUCAGUUAGAGGUGAAAUCCCGAAGCUCAACUUCGGAACUGCCUUUAAUACUGCCAGUCUCGAGUCCGGGAGAGGUAAGUGGAACUCCUAGUGUAGAGGUGGAAUUCGUAGAUAUUAGGAAGAACACCAGUGGCGAAGGCGGCUUACUGGUCCGGAACUGACGCUGAGGUGCGAAAGCGUGGGGAGCAAACA